rnacentral:rRNA from 1 species
AUUGAACGCUGGCGGCAGGCCUAACACAUGCAAGUCGAGCGGAUGAAGGGAGCUUGCUCCUGGAUUCAGCGGCGGACGGGUGAGUAAUGCCUAGGAAUCUGCCUGGUAGUGGGGGAUAACGUCCGGAAACGGGCGCUAAUACCGCAUACGUCCUGAGGGAGAAAGUGGGGGAUCUUCGGACCUCACGCUCUCAGAUGAGCCUAGGUCGGAUUAGCUAGUUGGUGGGGUAAAGGCCUACCAAGGCGACGAUCCGUAACUGGUCUGAGAGGAUGAUCAGUCACACUGGAACUGAGACACGGUCCAGACUCCUACGGGAGGCAGCAGUGGGGAAUAUUGGACAAAGGGCGAAAGCCUGAUCCAGCCAUGCCGCGUGUGUGAAGAAGGUCUUCGGAUUGUAAAGCACUUUAAGUUGGGAGGAAGGGCAGUAAGUUAAUACCUUGCUGUUUUGACGGUACCAACAGAAUAAGCACCGGCUAACUUCGUG